AUUAAUAAUUAAUAUAUUUAAUAAAAAUAAUUUUAAUUUAAUAAGUAUUUUAAUGGGGGUUAAAGUAUUUUUUAAAGAAAAAAUUUUUAAAUUUAUAGUUAAUUAGUAUUGUGAAAGAAUUUUGAAAUAUUAUGAAAAAUAAAAUUUUUAGAAAGUAAUUUUUAUUUAUUGUAUCUUGUGUAUCAGAGUUUAUUAAAAAUUUUUAAUUUAUGAAUUAAUUUCUCGAAUUUAAAAGAGUUAAAUAAUUAUUAAAGUUAUUGUAGCAAAAUUAUUUUAAAUAAUUAUUUAGAAAUGAAAUGUUAAUCGUUUUUAAAUAUAUCUAGUUUUUAUAGAAAAAAAUUUAAUUUUAAAUUUAAAAAUUAUUUAAUUAAUUUAUUAAUUAAAUAGUUACUUAAAUUUUAUAAUUUAAGGGAUAAGCUUUAAAUUAAAUUUUUAUAAUAUUAAAUUUUUAUUUUGAAAAUUUUAUAAUUUAUAUUGUUAAUAAAUUUUAUUUUGUUAUAAAUAAUUUCAUUUUUUUUAAAAUUUAAAUUUUAUUUAAUUUUUUAUAUAAAAUUUAUUUAUAAUUAUAUAAAGUUAAUUAUAAUGAUAAAAUUAGUAUAUUAUUUAAUAUUAAAUUAAAAUUAAUUUUUGAUUAAUAAUUAAAUUAAUUAAAAGGAAUUCGGCAAAUAUUUAUUUUCACUUGUUUAUCAAAAACAUGUCUUUUUGUUAUUUAAUUUAAAGUCUAAUCUGCCCACUGAUUUAUAAAAAUUGAAGGGCUGCAGUAUAUUGACUGUACAAAGGUAGCAUAAUCAUUAGUCUCUUAAUUGGUGACUUGUAUGAAAGAUUGGAUGAAAAAUAUACUGUCUCUUAAUUAAUAUAUAGAAUUUAAUUUUUUAUUUAAAAAGUUAAAAUAACUUAAAAAGACGAGAAGACCCUAUAGAGUUUAAUAAAUUAUUUUAUGAAAGUUUUAUUUAUAUUUAUUAAUAAUUUUAUAAAUUUAUUUAUUUAGUUGGGGGGAUAAAAAAAUAAAUUUAACUUUUUUUAAGUAAUUUACCUGGAUAAGUGAUUAAU
rnacentral:rRNA from 1 species